rnacentral:rRNA from 1 species
GUCUGAUGGAGCACGCCGCGUGAGUGAAGAAGGUUUUCGGAUCGUAAAACUCUGUUGUUGGAGAAGAACGUAUUUGAUAGUAACUGAUCAGGUAGUGACGGUAUCCAACCAGAAAGCCACGGCUAACUACGUGCCAGCAGCCGCGGUAAUA